rnacentral:rRNA from 1 species
AUGGUGGACGCCGAGGCGCCCUUGCUGCGGCCCGCCGAGGACGACGGCGACGAGGCGGCGCCGCUGGCCGGAGUCUCCGACUUCCGAGGCCGCCCGGUCAGCCGCGCCGGCUCCGGCGGCUGGCGCUCCGCCCUCUUCGUCGUCGUGUUGGAGAUCGCCGGCAACUUCGCCUUCUUCGGCGUGUCGUCGAACCUGAUCACGUACCUGACGGGGCCGCUGGGCCACUCCAACGCCGCCGCGGCCGCCGCCGUCAACGCCUGGUCCGGCACGGCCUGCCUCAUGCCGCUGCUGGGCGCCUUCGUCGCCGACUCCUGGCUCGGCCGCUACCGCUCCAUCAUCCUCGCCUGCACCCUCUACGUCCUGGGAUACGGCAUGGUCACUCUAGCUUCCACUCUACUGGAGCAAAGCUUUGCGGCUGGCGACAUCCAUAUCUCUUCCGGCCCUUCGUCGCUACAGGUGGCCUUCUUCUAUGCCUCGCUCUACCUAAUCGCCCUGGCGCAGGGCGCCGACAAGCCGUGCGCCUUGGCUUUCGCAGCCGACCAAUUUGAUCCCGAGCACCCCAAAGAGCGUGCAUCCCGUAGCUCCCUCUUUAACUGGUGGUUCUUCUCGAUGGCCGUUGGCAUCUCCAUCUCUGUCGCCGUCGUCAGCUACAUCCAGGAGAAUGUUGGUUGGGGGAUCGGCUUCGGCAUGCUUUGCAUCAUCAUGAUUUGUACGUUCGUCGUAUUCCUCUCUGGCACCCCCACCUAUCGCUUCUGCGCUCCCACCACCAAUGUUGAGAGUCCUUUCGUCCGCCUUGGUCGUAGCCUUGGCACACUCAUCAAGAGCUCAAGCUUCCCCUUCAGUACAAAUCGACACCAAGAUGAGGAUGUUGUGGCCAAGUCCGAGGAGGCGCGCAGCAUGCUCCGUCUGUUGCCGAUUUGGGCGGCAUGCCUGGCGUAUGGUGUUGCAUAUGCGCAAAUCAUGACCCUAUUCAACAAGCAGGGCCGCACCUUGGAUCGCCGCUUCUUCGGAGGCCUUGAGCUACCGCCGGCCGCACUUCAAACACUUGGGCCAGCGAGCAUCCUGUUGUUUGUCCCCAUCUACGACCGUUUGUUGGUGCCGGCACUAGGGCUCGUGACAGGCAAGCCAUCGGGGUUGACGCUUUUGCAGCGCAUGGGCGCAGGCAUGACGGUGUCAAUGGGCGCGAUCAUCGCAGCAGCGCUCGUGGAGGGCCAACGACUAGAGACGGCACGGGAGCACGGGCUGGUGGACGAUGCCGGGGCGACGGUGCCGAUGAGCUGGGUGUGGCUGGUGCCGCAGUAUGUGAUGAUGGGGGUGGCAGACGUGCUGGCGGUGGUGGGCAUGCAGGAGUUUUUCUACGACCAGAUGCCCCGUGAGCUACGCAGCCUCGGCCUAGCGCUCUACUUCAGCGUCAUGGGGAUCGGCGGCUUCAUCAGCAGCGCCCUCAUCUCCUUCAUCGACCGUGUUACUAGAAGUGGCGGCGGUGAUGGUUGGUUUGCUGACAACCUCAACCGUGCCCACCUCGACUACUUCUACUGGCUGCUCGCCGGACUCUCAGCCGCUGAGCUCGUGCUUUUCCUUUGGCUCGCCAGCUCCUACACAUAUAACAAGAGCCACAAGAGGAUUCAGCACUGA